rnacentral:rRNA from 1 species
AGGGUGACACCACUCGUGUGUUCUAUAUAAUCAGUGAGGAGAAGCAUCCCUCUGCUCGAGAACAAUUUUGUUGGAGAGAUGCGCCAACUACUAAAGAAUGGGAGGGGCCCCGGGAGAGCCUCGUGUUAUUUUUCACCCCGGGAACUCCCCGCGCCCACCAUAGUAGAGGUUGCCAGAUUGUUGCCUCUUGAUUCUUAGUUGGGCCACGCCCUUUUUAUUGGAGGAGAGAUUUUUUGUUAUUCGGUAAGGAGGGAGCCUUACCCGAAAAAUGUCCGUUCUCAUUUUAAGGGAUAAAUUUUUUAGAGGGGCUAUGCAUUUCAAAAUCGACAAAAUUUUGGGCCAAUUCCCGAGUUUGGGAGCCCCCUAAAAGUUCUUGGCUGUGUGGUGUGUGGCCCCCCUUGGUGCGAUACCAACCAAUGGCCUAGCUAGAACAAAGGUAAGGCCAAUUCUUGAAAUAUGCAUCCGUAAAAAGAAAAUAAAAUCUUUGCAAUUAUUAGAUCUUGAACGAAGGAAAUUCCUAGUAAGUGCAAGUCAUCAUCUGCAUUGAUAUGUCUGCCGUUGUACACACCGCCCGUCGCUCCUACCGAUACCAGGUGAUCCGGUGAACCUUUUGGACCUUCAUUGGAAAAAUAAGUAAACCUAAUCACGAAUAGUAAUCUAGAUUAUCUCGAGGAUGGGCUCGAAUCACUGCCGCGUACCC